GAUGGCGGCUGCGGCGGCUGCACGAGCAGCUUCUGUGGGCUCCGGGUUCCGGGGUCUGCAACGGACACUGCCUCUUGUAGUGAUUCUUGGGGCGACGGGCACCGGCAAAUCCACCCUGGCGUUGCAGCUAGGCCAACGGCUGGGUGGCGAAAUCGUCAGCGCUGAUUCCAUGCAGGUUUAUGAAGGCUUAGACAUCAUCACCAACAAGGUUUCUGCCCAAGAGCAGAGAAUGUGCCGGCACCACAUGAUCAGCUUUGUGGAUCCUCUUGUGACAAAUUACACCGUUGUGGACUUCAGGAACAAGGCAACUGCUCUGAUUGAAGAUAUAUUUGGCCGAGACAAAAUUCCUAUUGUCGUGGGAGGAACCAAUUAUUACAUUGAGUCUCUGCUCUGGAAAGUUCUUGUCAAUACUAAGCCCCAGGAGAUGGACACCGAGAAGGUGACUGACCGGAAAGUAGAGCUUGAAAAGGAGGAUGGCCAUGUGCUCCACAAACGCCUAAGCCAGGUGGACCCAGAAAUGGCUGCCAAGCUGCACCCACAUGACAAGCGCAAAGUGGCCAGGAGCUUGCAAGUGUUUGAAGAAACGGGAAUCUCUCAUAGUGAAUUUCUUCAUCGUCAACAUGCGGAGGAAGGUGGUGGUCCCCUUGGAGGCCCUCUGAAGUUCCCUCACCUUUGCAUCCUCUGGCUUCAUGCUGACCAGACAGUUCUAGAUGAGCGCUUGGAGAAGAGGGUGGAUGACAUGCUCGCUGCUGGGCUCUUGGAUGAACUAAGAGAUUUUCACAGGCGCUAUAAUCAGAAGAAAGUUGCAGAAAACAGCCAGGACUAUCAACAUGGUAUCUUCCAAUCCAUUGGCUUCAAGGAAUUCCACGAGUACCUUGUCACUGAGGGAAAAUGCACACCGGAGACCAGUAACCAGCUCCUAAGGAAAGGUAUUGAGUCUCUGAAACAAGUGACCAAGAGAUAUGCCCGGAAGCAAAACCGAUGGGUUAAAAACCGCUUUUUGAGCAGACCUGGUCCCAGUGUCCCCCCAGUAUAUGGCUUAGAAGUAUCUGAUGUCUCGAAGUGGGAGGAAUCUGUUCUUGUACCAGCUCUUGAAAUCGUGCAGAGUUUCAUCCAGGGCCACAAGCCUAUAGCUGCUCCAGUAAAGAUGCCAUGCAGUGAAACGGAGAACAAGAGAAGUUUUCACAUGUGUGACCUCUGCGAUCGAAUCAUCAUUGGGGACCGUGAAUGGGCAGCACAUAUAAAAUCCAAAUCCCACUUGCACCAACUGAAGAAAAGAAGAAGAUUGGACUCAGAUGCUGUUGCUACCAUAGAAAAUCAGAGUAUUUCUCCAGACUGUGACAAAGAGCUUAGGGAGAAAGGAUUCUCAGAGCAGAAUGAGAAAGAGGUGAAGUCCAGUGUUUAAGAGACAUGUCCCGGAGCCUUUGCACCGGUGGGGCCCCGCUUCGGGAAGGAGGGUCAGAUACUUUUAUAGAUGAUUGAGGUCUUGUGAGCCACAGAUCAGGAGUUCUGGAUUUGAGUGGAUGGCAGGAACGGACCAGCCCCAGUGAGAUGGUCAAGUGAACUCAGCCAGCUCUUGGAAUUCCAUGGAGAAGGAGAGAAGGAGGUGUUCGUGACGUGGUGCCUGAAAACUAAAGACUUCGGCAUUUGCUGCGCGCCUCCUGUGUGAUAAUUACCAUCACUGCUGUCUUUCUAUUGAGUUAGAAGUCUAUAUAUUUUUUGAAAGUUAAAUAAAGAAAAAGUUCCCAAGA